AUUUUAAGGAAUGCAGUGGUUUUUUUUUAGUCAUUUACUGCUUCAGCAUGAACUGGAUAGUGAUUUUCUGUGUAAUUUGCGGGUUGUGUUCUCAAAAUCUCGCGGAGAGCCGUCAUGUGGAACAUGAUGGAGAUCGUGCAAUGGAAAAUCCAGAUCUUUUUGAAGGUGAUAUGUUAGGUUUUACACCUGAAGACAGAAAUGCUGUUACAGGCAGACGAAGAUUAUGGCCUGAAGGGAAAAUCCCUUAUGUAAUUGAUCCUGCUUUAA